GGCGAUCUGCGCUUCCCGACAGGAACCACAAUCCCCGGGGCCAUACACGAUCUCAAGGGGACUGUCCCUGGCCGGACCCGUGGGUCCGGGCAUACGGUGCCCACCUACCUAGUAGGUACCCGGGAUCGUAAAUCAUCCAUCGGUCGUCGUGGAUCGCAC
rnacentral:other from 14 species